rnacentral:tRNA from 1 species
GGAGAGGUGGCCGAGUGGCCGAAGGCGCUCCCCUGCUAAGGGAGUAUGGGCUUUAACUCCCAUCGAGGGUUCGAAUCUCAACAGCACCCUUUUUCUCCU